rnacentral:rRNA from 1 species
CUGUGUUCACACGGCGAGACCGCGGACGGCUCAUUAAAUCAGUCGUGGUCCAAAUGGGCCAGUGCAAAUCCUACUUGGAUAACUGUGGUAAUUCCAGAGCUAAUACAUGCAACUGAUAUCCCGAAGGCGGUGUUUGGGCUUGCUUGCCUUGCACUUCGCUGCUCUGACGGAUGCUUUUAUUAGACCAAACCGCUGAGGACUUGAGGGUUCGCGCUCUCUUGUCUGACUCGUGCGAUGGUGACUCUGGAUAACCAAAUUCUGACAAGCGCACGUACUUCUCUUCUGAGCGAGACGGCGCUGCCACUUUCGAGUGUCUGCCUUAUCAGCUAUCAACCGUUCGUUAUGCGCGACCGAUGGCUUUGACGGGUAACGGGGAAUCAGGGUUCGAUUCCGGAGAGGCAGCCUGAGAGACGGCUACCACGUCCAAGGACGGCAGCAGGCACGCAAAUUACCCAAUCCCAGCAAAUGGGGGAGGUAGUGACGAAAUCUAACGAUGCGGGCGCCCUUUCUGGGGCCCCGCAAUCGGAAUGGGCACUUUCUAAACAACCUGUUGAGAACCUACUGAAGGGCAAGUCUGGUGCCAGCAGCCGCGGUAAUUCCAGCUUCAGCAGCAUCUAUUAAAGUUGCUGCGGUUAAAAGGCUCGCAGUUGAAUGUCUGUAUCGAGCGCAGGUCAGGUGGACGUU